AACGAACGCUGGCGGCAUGCCUAACACAUGCAAGUCGAACGAGAUCCUUCGGGGUCUAGUGGCGCACGGGUGCGUAACGCGUGGGAAUCUGCCCUUAGGUUCGGAAUAACAGUUAGAAAUGACUGCUAAUACCGGAUGAUGACGUUAAGUCCAAAGAUUUAUCGCCUGAGGAUGAGCCCGCGUAGGAUUAGCUAGUUGGUGUGGUAAAGGCGCACCAAGGCGACGAUCCUUAGCUGGUCUGAGAGGAUGAUCAGCCACACUGGGACUGAGACACGGCCCAGAAUCCUACGGGAGGCAGGAGAGGGGAAUAUUGGACAAUGGGCGCAAGCAUGAUGCAGCUAUGCCGCGUGAGUGAUGAAGGCCUUAGAGUUGUAAAGCUCUUUUACCCGGGAUGAUAAUGACAGUACCGGGAGAAUAAGCCCCGGCUAACUCCGUG
rnacentral:rRNA from 1 species